UACGGAGGGGGCUAGCGUUGUUCGGAAUUACUGGGCGUAAAGCGCGCGUAGGCGGAUCUGCAAGUCGGGGGUGAAAUCCCGAGGCUCAACCUCGGAACUGCCUUCGAUACUGCGGGUCUCGAGUCCGGGAGAGGUGAGUGGAAUUCCUAGUGUAGAGGUGAAAUUCGUAGAUAUUAGGAAGAACACCAGUGGCGAAGGCGGCUCACUGGCCCGGUACUGACGCUAAGGCGCGAAAGCGUGGGGAGCAAACAGG
rnacentral:rRNA from 1 species